UACGUAGGGGACAAGCGUUGUCCGGAUUUACUGGGCGUAAAGAGCGCGCAGGCGGUCGUUCAAGUCGAGUGUGAAAGCCCCCCGGCUCAACUGGGGAGGGUCACUCGAUACUGAUCGACUCGAAAGGCAGGAGGAGGGUAGUGGAAUUCCCGGUGUAGUGGUGAAAUGGCGUAGAUAUCGGGAGGAACACCAGUGGCGAAGGCGACUACCUGGCCUGUUCUUGACGCUGAGGCGCGAAAGCUAGGGGAGCAAACGGG
rnacentral:rRNA from 1 species